GUCGUAAGUCGGUGCCAAUACCACUCAAUCGCCUUAGCUGGUAAGUACUUGAAGGAAGAGAAUUUUGUAUGGCUGUGUCAAACAGAUCAAAGCCAUGAAGUAGCACACGAAACGUGCGUGGCUCUGUGACAUGUCGUGUGGCAAUAGUCAGUUUCUGUCUGUUGACCCGAAGUCAUGAUGUUCACGAACAAAGCGAGGAUGACCACAGUACUCGUCAUCUGCGUCCUAACAAUGGUGUUCUACAUCGGUGUUCAUCAAGGGCGCGUCAGUGAAUACGUGAAGAUUGCAUUGGGCUACCUCGACGAUGACGUCAAUCCCCCAGAUGUUAUGACCAGAAACGGAACAUUAUUCGAACGUCAACCUG